AGUGAACGCUGGCGGCGUGCUAACACAUGCAAGUCGAACGAGAACGGAUUUAAGCUUGCUUAAAUUGUCAGCUAAGUGGCGCACGGGUGAGUAAUGUAUAGUUAACCUGCCUUUAAGAAAGGGAUAACAAUUAGAAAUGAUUGCUAAUACCUUAUAUGCCUUUUAAUCAUAAGAUUGUAAAGGGAAAUGCUUUUGUGCUUAAAGAUGGGACUGUAUAGUAUCAGAUAGUUGGUGGGGUAAUGGCCUACCAAGUCAAUGACGCUUAACUGGUUUGAGAGGAUGAUCAGUCACACUGGAACUGAGACACGGUCCAGACUCCUACGGGAGGCAGCAGUGGGGAAUAUUGCACAAUGGAGGGAACUCUGAUGCAGCAACGCCGCGUGGAGGAUGACACAUUUCGGUGCGUAAACUCCUUUUAUAUAGGAAGAUAAUGACGGUACUAUAUGAAUAAGCACCGGCUAACUCCGUGCCAGCAGCCGCGGUAAUACGGAGGGUGCAAGCGUUACUCGGAAUCACUGGGCGUAAAGAGCAUGUAGGCGGAUUAAUAAGUUUGAAGUGAAAUCCUAUAGCUUAACUAUAGAACUGCUUUGAAAACUGUUAAUCUAGAAUAUGGGAGAGGUAGAUGGAAUUUCUGGUGUAGGGGUAAAAUCCGUAGAGAUCAGAAGGAAUACCGAUUGCGAAGGCGAUCUACUGGAACAUUAUUGACGCUCAGAUGCGAAAGCGUGGGUAGCAAACAGG
rnacentral:rRNA from 1 species